CUGAGAUCUAACUUCCCUGCUGUGAUCCCUGCCUUUCUACUAACAGGGAGCCCAGGCGCAGAGCUACUAAUGAGCAUGCUGGAGAGAGUGUCCAGCCCAGCUCCGGCUAGAGACAAUCCACCUGUCUGCUCUCCGACGCAGGGUGAUUUAGAUCUGACAGUGUUUGGAUGGAGAAAACAAUCUGAAUUUAAAAAAAAUCAAAAGAAGAAAAAAGGACUGUUCCAGCUAAAACAGAUAAUUCAGAAGCAUGCUUUUGAUGCAACAGAAGUGUGGAACCAAUAGCAUUUACUGAUGAUAGUCAGAGUAGGCAACCAAAAAGCAAUUCUUUGUGUUGAACAAAGAUGGAGAAGUGUUGUUUCUAAUAGCAAAAUAAAAAUUUCUAAAAUACAGCUCAGAUUGACUAAAAAUGUCAAUGUGGACCUGGUUUGAAAAGCUUAGGUUUUAAUUGUUGCUGUUUAAUCCUUCCUAUGCAUUUAAAAAUAAACAAACAAACAAAAAUAUCCCAAAACAAAACCAAACAGAAAAAAAAAAUAAGAAAAAAAAGAAAAGAUUCAAUGAAGCAUUCUGAAAGUGUC
rnacentral:lncRNA from 1 species